CAUACACCAAAGGAUACACACAGGAGAGAAGCCCCAUGUUUGUGGGGAGUGUGGGCGAAGCUUCAGUCAGAGGUCACAUCUCGUCAGACACCAAAGGAUACACACAGGAGAGAAGCCCUAUGUUUGUGGGGAGUGUGGGCGAGGCUUCAAUGAUAGGUCACAUCUCAUCAUACACCAAAGGAUACACACAGGAGAGAAGCCCCAUGUUUGUGGGGAGUGUGGGCGAGGCUUCAGUCAGAGGUCACAUCUCGCCAAACACCAGAGGACACACACAGGUGAGAAGCCCCAUGUUUGUAGGGAAUGUGGGCGAGGCUUUAGUCAGAGGUCAAAUCUCAUCACACACCAAAGGAUACACACAGGAGAGAAGCCCCAUGUUUGUAGGCAAUGUGGGCGAGGUUUCAUUCAUAGGUCAAGUCUCAUCAUACACCAAAGGAUACACACUGGAGAGAAGCCCCAUGUUUGCAGAGACUGUGGGCGAGGCUUUAGUCAGAGGUCAAUUCUCGUCAGACACCAGAGG